CGCUGGCGGCGUGCCUAACACAUGCAAGUCGAACGAAGCAUUUGGAGCUGAUCCCUUCGGGGUGACGCACCUUAUGACUUAGUGGCGGACGGGUGAGUAACACGUGAGCAACCUGCCUCUCAGAGUGGAAUAACAGUUGGAAACGGCUGCUAAUACCACAUAACGUUUUUUGUGCCGCAUGACACUUCAACCAAAGAUUUAUCGCUGAGAGAUGGGCUCGCGUCCGAUUAGGUAGAUGGUGGGGUAACGGCCUACCAUGCCGACGAUCGGUAGCCGGACUGAGAGGUUGAUCGGCCACAUUGGGACUGAGACACGGCCCAGACUCCUACGGGAGGCAGCAGUGGGGGAUAUUGCACAAUGGGCGCAAGCCUGAAUGCAGCAACGCCGCGUGCGGGAAGAAGGUUUUCGGAUCGUAAACCUCUGUCCUUGGUGAAGAGUGAGAGACGGUAGCCAAGGAGGAAGCCCCGGCUAACUACGUGCCAGCCGCCGC
rnacentral:rRNA from 1 species